rnacentral:rRNA from 2 species
AGUGAAGCGGGAUGAGCUCAAAUUUAAAAUCUGGCUGGUUUACUAGUCCGAAUUGUAGUUUAUAGAAGCGUUUUCGGUGGCAGCCUGGGUAUAAAUCCUUUGGAAUAGGGUAUCAUAGAGGGUGAGAAUCCCGUCUUUGACUCAGUGCAUGCUACUAUGUGAUACGUUUUCAAAGAGUCGAGUUGUUUGGGAAUGCAGCUCAAAAUGGGUGGUAAAUUUCAUCUAAAGCUAAAUAUUGGCGAGAGACCGAUAGCGAACAAGUACCGUGAGGGAAAGAUGAAAAGAACUUUGAAAAGAGAGUUAAACAGUGCGUGAAAUUGUUGAAAGGGAAACGCUUGACACCAGUCAUGCGAGUGGAAAAUCAGUCUUUUGCAAUGGGGAGUUGUGGGCGUUCAGACCGCAAGGCUGGCGUUUGCUUCAUCUUUGUUGUAAGUGAUGCACUUUUUCAUUUGCAGGUCAACAUCAGUUUGCUUUGCUGGACAAAACCCCAAGGGAAGGUGGCAGCUUAGGCUGUGUUAUAGCCCUGGGGCGAUACAGUGGAGUGGACUGAGGUUUUCGCAGUGUGUGCUCUCUGGGCAAGGCUGACUGGGUGCUAUGGGAUCGUUCGGCGUACAAUGCAUGCAUUUUGCGUCGUGUCUUUUUCAUACUCGCUCAACUCGGCUCUUCCACACUUAGGAUGUUGACUUAAUGGUUUUAAUCGACCCGUCUUGAAACACGGACCAAGGAGUCUAACAUAUAUGCAAGUGUUUGGGUGGCAAACCCAUGCGCGUAAUGAAAGUGAACGUAGGUGCCAUCCGCAAGGUGCAGCAUCGACCGAUCUUGAUAUUUUUGGAUAGAUUUGAGUAAGAGCAUAUAUGCUGGGACCCGAAAGAUGGUGAACUAUGCCUGAAUAGGGUGAAGCCAGAGGAAACUCUGGUGGAGGCUCGUAGCGAUUCUGACGUGCAAAUCGAUCGUCAAAUUUGGGUAUAGGGGCGAAAGACUAAUCGAACCAUCUAGUAGCUGGUU